UACAGAGGUCUCAAGCGUUGUUCGGAUUCAUUGGGCGUAAAGGGUGCGUAGGUGGCGCCGUAAGUCGGGUGUGAAAUUUCGGAGCUUAACUCCGAAACUGCAUUCGAUACUGCGGUGCUUGAGGACUGAGAGGAGAGACGUGAAUUCAUGGUGUAGCAGUGAAAUGCGUAGAGAUCAUGAGGAAGACCAGUGGCGAAGGCGGGUCUCUGGACAGUUCCUGACACUGAGGCACGAAGGCCAGGGGAGCAAACGGG
rnacentral:rRNA from 1 species